rnacentral:rRNA from 1 species
AGACGAGGAGCUUGCUCCUCUGACGUUAGCGGCGGACGGGUGAGUAACACGUGGAUAACCUACCUAUAAGACUGGGAUAACUUCGGGAAACCGGAGCUAAUACCGGAUAAUAUAUUGAACCGCAUGGUUCAAUAGUGAAAGACGGUUUUGCUGUCACUUAUAGAUGGAUCCGCGCCGCAUUAGCUAGUUGGUAAGGUAACGGCUUACCAAGGCGACGAUGCGUAGCCGACCUGAGAGGGUGAUCGGCCACACUGGAACUGAGACACGGUCCAGACUCCUACGGGAGGCAGCAGUAGGGAAUCUUCCGCAAUGGGCGAAAGCCUGACGGAGCAACGCCGCGUGAGUGAUGAAGGUCUUCGGAUCGUAAAACUCUGUUAUUAGGGAAGAACAAAUGUGUAAGUAACUAUGCACGUCUUGACGGUACCUAGUCAGAAAGCCACGGCUAACUACGUGCCAGCAGCCGCGGUAAUACGUAGGUGGCAAGCGUUAUCCGGAAUUAUUGGGCGUAAAGCGCGCGUAGGCGGUUUUUUAAGUCUGAUGUGAAAGCCCACGGCUCAACCGUGGAGGGUCAUUGGAAACUGGAAAACUUGAGUGCAGAAGAGGAAAGUGGAAUUCCAUGUGUAGCGGUGAAAUGCGCAGAGAUAUGGAGGAACACCAGUGGCGAAGGCGACUUUCUGGUCUGUAACUGACGUUGAUGUGCGAAAGCGUGGGGAUCAAACAGGAUUAGAUACCCUGGUAGUCCACGCCGUAAACGAUGAGUGCUAAGUGUUAGGGGGUUUCCGCCCCUUAGUGCUGCAGCUAACGCAUUAAGCACUCCGCCUGGGAAGUACGACCGCAAGGUUG